UACGGGGGGAGCAAGCGUUGUUCGGAUUUACUGGGCGUAAAGGGCGCGUAGGCGGUCGUGACAAGUCACUUGUGAAAUCUCCGGGCUUAACUCGGAAAGGUCAAGUGAUACUGUCGGACUAGAGUACAGAAGGGGCAACUGGAAUUCUCGGUGUAGCGGUGAAAUGCGUAGAUAUCGAGAGGAACACCUGCGGCGAAGGCGGGUUGCUGGGCUGAUACUGACGCUGAGGCGCGAAAGCGUGGGGAGCAAACAGG
rnacentral:rRNA from 1 species